AUUGAACGCUGGCGGCAGGCCUAACACAUGCAAGUCGAGCGAGCGGCGGACGGGUGAGUAAUGUAUGGGGACUGCCCGAUAGAGGGGGAUAACUACUGGAAACGGUGGCUAAUACCGCAUACUAUCGGAUAACCCAUAGGGGAUUAGCUAGUAGGUGGGGUAAAGGCUCACCUAGGCGACGAUCUCUAGCUGGUCCGAGAGGAUGAUCGGCCACCCGGGGACUGGGCCACGCCCCAACCUCCUACGGAGGCCGAGGAGGGGAAUAUUGCACAUGGAGCGCAGGCCUGAUGCGGCCAUGCCGCGUUUAUGAGAAAGGCUUUAGGGUUGUAAGGUACUUUCAGCGGGGAGGCGUUACCCGCAGAAGAAGCACCGGCUAACUCCGUGCCAGCAGCCGCGGUAAUAC
rnacentral:rRNA from 1 species